GCUCUCAUAGCUUAAUUGGUAGAGCACCCGCUUAGUAAGCAGAGGUCUUGAGUUUGACUCCAAACAAGAGCA
rnacentral:tRNA from 1 species